rnacentral:sRNA from 1 species
AUACUUCGAUACCGAUGUGCGCUUGGCC